rnacentral:SRP_RNA from 1 species
CCCCACCCAUGGUCUCGUCGCUUUUUGUGAGGGUGGCACGAACCCGAAGGCGUUCGUGUACACCGUGACGCCGCGGAAACUGCUGUUGACGUUGUCGAAU